UACGGAGGGUGCGAGCGUUAUCCGGAAUCACUGGGUUUAAAGGGUGCGUAGGCGGCUUGAUAAGUCAGUAUUGAAAGCCCAUCGCUUAACGAUGGAACUGGUAAUGAUACUGUCAGGCUAGAAAUUAGAUGAGGAUGGCGGAAUGUGACAUGUAGCGGUGAAAUGCAUAGAUAUGUCAUAGAACACCUAUUGCGAAGGCAGCUAUCUAGACUAUAUUUGACGCUGAGGCACGAAAGCGUGGGUAUCGAACAGG
rnacentral:rRNA from 1 species